AGCGAACGCUGGCGGCAGGCCUAACACAUGCAAGUCGAACGAACCUUUCGGGGUUAGUGGCGGACGGGUGAGUAACACGUGGGAACGUGCCUUUAGGUUCGGAAUAACUCAGGGAAACUUGUGCUAAUACCGAAUGUGCCCUUCGGGGGAAAGAUUAAUCGCCUUUAGAGCGGCCCGCGUCUGAUUAGCUAGUUGGUUGAGGUAAUGGCUCACCAAGGCGACGAUCAGUAGCUGGUCUGAGAGGAUGAUCAGCCACAUUGGGACUGAGACACGGCCCAAACUCGUACGGGAGGCAGCAGUGGGGAAUCUUGCGCAAUGGGCGAAAGCCUGACGAAGCCAUGCCGCGUGAAUGAUGAAGGUCUUAGGAUUGUAAAAUUCUUUCACCGGGGACGAUAAUGACGGUACCCGGAGAAGAAGCCCCGGCUAACUUCGUG
rnacentral:rRNA from 1 species